rnacentral:rRNA from 1 species
AUACGGAGGGUGCAAGCGUUACUCGGAAUCACUGGGCGUAAAGCGCGCGCAGGCGGCUAUUUAAGUUGGAUGUGAAAGCCUACGGCUCAACCGUAGAACUGCAUCCAAAACUAUUUAGCUAGAGUGUGGGAGAGGAAGAUGGAAUUAGUUGUGUAGGGGUAAAAUCCGUAGAGAUAACUAGGAAUACCAAAAGCGAAGGCAAUCUUCUGGAACACUACUGACGCUGGGGCGCGAAAGCGUGGGGAGCAAACAGGAUUAGAAACCCUUGUAGUCC